CUUAGUAUGCAAAAAACCCAAACUUAUAAAUGGGUGCACUUAUUAGAUGAAGCCAACGCCAGUUUGGUGAUUCAUAAUAAUUUAGCGGAUCGCAUGGCCUUGUGGUUGAGAUUGUAAAAUAGAGGCUUACAAUGCCUACAACGGGUAACUGGAAAUUAGGGUUCGAUUCCGUAGAGGGAGCCUGAGAAACGGCUACAAUCAUAAAGUCGC
rnacentral:ncRNA from 1 species